rnacentral:rRNA from 1 species
UACAGGGGGUGCAAGCGUUGUUCGGAAUUAUUGGGCGUAAAGCGCGUGUAGGCGGGCUGUUAAGUCCGGUGUGAAAUCCCUCGGCUCAACUGAGGACGUGCACUGGAUACUGGCAGUCUUGAGUCCUGGAGAGGAUAGCGGAAUUCCCAGUGUAGAGGUGAAAUUCGUAGAUAUUGGGAGGAACACCAGUGGCGAAGGCGGCUAUCUGGACAGUGACUGACGCUGAGACGCGAAAGCAUGGGUAGCAAAC